ACAACCGUCCUUUUCAGGACGACCAAAAAAUUAAAAGAAAUUAAUA
rfam:Drosophila willistoni strain TSC#14030-0811.24 scf2_1100000010667 genomic scaffold, whole genome shotgun sequence.